GAUGAACGCUGGCGGCGUGCCUAAUACAUGCAAGUCGAGCGAACGGACGAGAAGCUUGCUUUUCUGAUGUUAGCGGCGGACGGGUGAGUAACACGUGGAUAACCUACCUAUAAGACUGGGAUAACUUCGGGAAACCGGAGCUAAUACCGGAUAAUAUUUUGAACCGCAUGGUUCAAAAGUGAAAGACGGUCUUGCUGUCACUUAUAGAUGGAUCCGCGCUGCAUUAGCUAGUUGGUAAGGUAACGGCUUACCAAGGCAACGAUGCAUAGCCGACCUGAGAGGAGGGUCAGUCACACUGGAACUGAGACACGGUACAGACGACUGCGGGAGGCAGCAGUGGGGAAUAUUGGACAAUGGGCGAAAGACUGAAAAAGUAAGGAAGAGUGUGUGAAGAAGGGAUUAGGAUUGUAAAGCACUUUAAGUUGGGAGGAAGGGGAGUAAGAUAACAACUUGCUGUUGUGACGUUACCAAAAGAAUAAGCACCGGCUAACUUCGUG
rnacentral:rRNA from 1 species